rnacentral:rRNA from 1 species
GGAAACGGACAGAGCUGGCGUAUCUGGUCUGCAUUCAUCCGUGUGUUCUUGGGCGUUUGGAUUGCCACUCUCCAGACUGGGAUGGUGUUCAUUCUGUUCAGGGGCUCAUGGAGCAUUUGCAGGCGGAGUGCGCUGAGAUGCUCGGAGCAGCUGCAUGAGCUUGGCUUUGAGGCCAGCCCUUCGGGGUCUGGUACCCGGGCUGUGGGAGUGCUGUUUGUUCUGGGUGCUGAGUGUGUGCAAUGGCAACGGGUCCGUGUUGGUUUGAGCUGGCGGUCGGUGGCGGUCGCGUGCGACACGUGCCAGCAGUCAGUUCGGUCCUGCUCGGGCUCUCAUUGCAUGUUCUCGGUGUAAAAGCCGGUCAUCUGUCCGACCCGUCUUGAAACACGGACCAAGGAGUUUAGCGUGUGCGCGAGUCAUUGGGAGUUGAAAACCCAAGGGCGUAAUGAAAGUGAAGGUCUCCUUGCGGAGCUGAUGUGUGAUCUCGUGCACCCCGGUGUGCGGGCGCAACAUAGUCCCGUCCCGAUCGCAUGCGAUGGGGCGGAGACAGAGCGUACGCGCUGAGACCCGAAAGAUGGUGAACUAUUCCUGAGCAGGAUGAAGCC